rnacentral:rRNA from 1 species
UUGCCAGACUCCUACGGGAGGCAGCAGUGGGGAAUAUUGCACAAUGGGGGAAACCCUGAUGCAGCAACGCCGCGUGAGUGAGGAAGUAUUUCGGUAUGUAAAGCUCUAUCAGCAGGGAAUAGAAAAGAAGGUACCUGAAAAAGAAGCCCCGGCUAACUACGUGCCAGCAGCCGCGGUAAUACGUAGGGGGCAAGCGUUAUCCGGAUUUACUGGGUGUAAAGGGAGCGUAGACGGCAGUGCAAGUCUGGAGUGAAAGGCGGGGGCUCAACCCCCGGACUGCUCUGGAAACUGUACGGCUGGAGUGCAGGAGAGGUAAGUGGAAUUCCUAGUGUAGCGGUGAAAUGCGUAGAUAUUAGGAGGAACACCAGUGGCGAAGGCGGCUUACUGGACUGUAACUGACGUUGAGGCUCGAAAGCGUGGGGAGCAAACAGGAUUAGAUACCCGCGUAUG